rnacentral:rRNA from 1 species
GGUGAACGCUGGCGGCGUGCUUAAGACAUGCAAGUCGAACGCAGUCUUCGGACUGAGUGGCGCACGGGUGAGUAACACGUAACUGACCUACCCCCAAGUCGCGAAUAACCAGCCGAAAGGAUGGCUAAUACGUGAUGUGAUUAUCCGCUGUGGCGGAUCAUUCAAGACUGGAUCGCUUGGGGAUGGGGGUGCGUUCCAUCAGCUAGUUGGUAAGGUAAAGGCUUACCAAGGCAACGACGGAUAGCCGGCCUGAGAGGGUGGCCGGCCACAGGGGCACUGAGACACGGGUCCCACUCCUACGGGAGGCAGCAGUUAGGAAUCUUCCACAAUGGGCGCAAGCCUGAUGGAGCGACGCCGCGUGAGGGAUGAAGGUUCUCGGAUCGUAAACCUCUGAACCAACGACGAAAGACCCGACAAGGGAGAUGACGGUAGUUGGGUAAUAGCACCGGCUAACUCCGUGCCAGCCGCCGCAGUAACAC